rnacentral:rRNA from 1 species
GCGUGCGGGAAGAAGGCCUUCGGGUUGUAAACCGCUUUUGUCAGGGAAGAAACGCUCUGGGCUAAUACCCCGGGGUAAUGACGGUACCUGAAGAAUAAGCACCGGCUAACUACGUGCCAGCAGCCGCGGUAAUACGUAGGGUGCAAGCGUUAAUCGGAAUUACUGGGCGUAAAGCGUGCGCAGGCGGUUAUGCAAGACAGAUGUGAAAUCCCCGGGCUUAACCUGGGAACUGCAUUUGUGACUGCAUAGCUAGAGUGCGGCAGAGGGGGAUGGAAUUCCGCGUGUAGCAGUGAAAUGCGU